rnacentral:lncRNA from 13 species
GGGGCGGGUCUUUCCCAUGCUGUUCUCGUGACAGUGAAUAAGUCUUACAAGAUCUGCUGGUUUUAAAAAUGGGAGUUUCCCUGCACAAGCUCUCUCUUUUUGUCUGCUGCCAUCCAUGUAAGACGUGACUUACUCCUCCUUGCCUUCCGCCAUGAUUGUGAGGUCUCCCCACCUACGUGGAACUCCAGCCAACAUCCCUUGAUGCCCCAGGCAUAGAUUCAACGUCAAUUUGUGAUAAAAAAAAAUAGAGGGAAUGGGUGCUGCCUUCUCCUUGCAACUGGGGUGGAUGCUCUAAGAGGUAGGUUCUUAACUCAAACACCUCAAGAGCAGGAAUAACUGACAAAGAGGAAAUGAGCCUC